AAUCCAUAGGUUAAUGAGGCGAACCGGGGGAACUGAAACAUCUAAGUACCCCGAGGAAAAGAAAUCAACCGAGAUUCCCCCAGUAGCGGCGAGCGAACGGGGAGGAGCCCAGAGCCUGAAUCAGCAUGUGUGUUAGUGGAAGCGUCUGGAAAGGCGCGCGAUACAGGGUGACAGCCCCGUACACAAAAGCGCAUGUGCUGUGAGCUCGAUGAGUAGGGCGGGACACGUGGUAUCCUGUCUGAAUAUGGGGGGACCAUCCUCCAAGGCUAAAUACUCCUGACUGACCGAUAGUGAACCAGUACCGUGAGGGAAAGGCGAAAAGAACCCCGGCGAGGGGAGUGAAAAAGAACCUGAAACCGUGUACGUACAAGCAGUGGGAGCACCCUUUGGGGUGUGACUGCGUACCUUUUGUAUAAUGGGUCAGCGACUUAUAUUCUGUAGCAAGGUUAACCGUAUAGGGGAGCCGGAGGGAAACCGAGUCUUAACCGGGCGUUAAGUUGCAGGGUAUAGACCCGAAACCCGGUGAUCUAGCCAUGGGCAGGUUGAAGGUUGGGUAACACUAACUGGAGGACCGAACCGACUAAUGUUGAAAAAUUAGCGGAUGACCUGUGGCUGGGGGUGAAAGGCCAAUCAAACCGGGAGAUAGCUGGUUCUCCCCGAAAGCUAUUUAGGUAGCGCCUCGUGAAUUCAUCUCCGGGGGUAGAGCACUGUUUCGGCUAGGGGGCCAUCCCGGCUUACCAACCCGAUGCAAACUGCGAAUACCGGAGAAUGUUAUCACGGGAGACACACGGCGGGUGCUAACGUCCGUCGUGAAGAGGGAAACAACCCAGACCGCCAGCUAAGGUCCCAAAGUCAUGGUUAAGUGGGAAACGAUGUGGGAAGGCCCAGACAGCCAGGAUGUUGGCUUAGAAGCAGCCAUCAUUUAAAGAAAGCGUAAUAGCUCACUGGUCGAGUCGGCCUGCGCGGAAGAUGUAACGGGGCUAAACCAUG
rnacentral:rRNA from 3 species